GGAGAGAGGGUCAGACUGUGAUCUGUGACCAGCCUGUGAUUCUGGAACAAGAGUGCCACCAAUCUCCCUCUGUGAAUGCAUGGAUCUGGGCUGAGGGACCAGAGAGAGGAGACAUGGUCAUCACUGGCUGGGCCCAACAGUUAUCACCCCGUCCUUAGUUGCCCCU